CCGCCGGCGACCGGCGCACGGGUGAGUAACACGUAUGCAACCUCGCCCCUGUCGAGGGGGACAACCUUCCGAAAGGGAGGCUAAUCCCGCGUAUAUCGGUUUCGGGCAUCCGAGAUCGAGGAAAGAUUCAUCGGAAGAGGAUGGGCAUGCGGCGCAUUAGCUAGUUGGCGGGGUAACGGCCCACCAAGGCGACGAUGCGUAGGGGUUCUGAGAGGAAGGUCCCCCACACCUGGUACUGAGACACGGACCAGACUCCUACGGGAGGCAGCAG
rnacentral:rRNA from 1 species